GACGAACGCUGGCGGCAUGCUUAACACAUGCAAGUCGAACGGAGUGGCGAGCGGGGGAGUAACACGUGGGUGAACUGCCCUGAACGUCGGGAUAAGCUAGGGAAACCGGGUCCAAUACCGGAUAGUGCAAGAUGAGCUCGCGGGCUAUCAGCGUGUUGGUGGGGUAAGAGCCUACCAAGGCGUCGACGGGUAGCCGGCCUGGGAGGGUGUACGGCCACAAUGGGGCUACGAUACGGCGCAGACUCCUACGGGAGGCAGCAGGCGGGAAUAUUGCGCAAUGGGCGGGAGCCUGAUGCGGCGGCGCCGCGUGGGGAAUGAAGGUCUUCGGGUUGUGAACUCCUUUCGGCAGGGACGCGGUACCUGUAUAAGAAGCACCGGCUAACUACGUGCCAGCAGCCGCGGUAAUAC
rnacentral:rRNA from 1 species